UGGCAGACCACCAAAACGCAGGGAGGGUGGAGGGUGUGGAUGUGGGAUAGCGUGGUAGACAUCAGAUUGGUUCUUUCUUGUUGGCAGUUGGACCACAACAAAAGGAAAAGACCACCCAGCCCUCUGCUCUUCAGUAGCAGUUUUAUAACUUUUCACAUGGAUGUUCACAGGAUUUGCAAUGAUGUCCGAGUUUUUAUCUUCAACUAGUAGCAGCUGAAGUGAUACUUUCCUGAGAACACUAUUAUAUUCAAAUAUACGUUUGACUCCUGUCACUUUCAACUUGCUGAGAAGUUCACCAAUGAUACUGGAAUUCAAUGGAAGGAAAGUUUUCCUGGAUUUUGUCAGUCAAGCCAGGAUGUAGGAUGUGCUGUCCAGCAAUACAUUUUACCAAUUUUUUUCUACACUCUACCACAGCUCUGGUCCUAGUUAUAGAGACUGAGUUCUAGUAUCUGUUCAUUAAACCCAGCAACAAAGCAGUCAGUCAGGCAGAGUACAACAUACUCUAGGUACAUGUAAAGGUAUAGAACUAGUCUUAUAAAAUACACUUGUACAUGUAAAAUAUAACUUAACACUCAAUUGUAUAGGUCAUCACUUCACUUCUGUUUCUUUCUCUUUUACUUUUUAUCUUUGCCAGGUAGACAUGAAAGGUGUGGGGGCAUCUUCUAUGUCUCUUCUCUCAACAGAAAUUAUUUUAUCAAGAUUUUUCUCUUGUUAAAGAUACUUCAAGAAGCAUAACUUAAUGUGAAAUAUAUCAGAGAAAUUUACACCUGAAAGAAAACUUGCUGCACUUCAUUAAAAUUUGACACGAUAUGUCUACCUUCAGGCUGUCAAUAAGCUCUGUGCAAAAACAUCUCAAACUGUUCUUUAAAAGUUGUUUAGUACUAAAAAAUUGAAGACCUUUUAUUAUUUCCUGCUGUUGAGGGAACCUGGCUGUCUGUCUAUCCUCUCUGUUGGACGGUGACUGGUCUCGCCUCCUCGCAAAUGGUGCCGUCUGGGCAACAAGAGCUCUGAGAGUGCACACAUUCAGGGCUCUUGGCUAAACGAGACCUAUAUUCGAUAUUUAAGAUUUGAUUAGCAACUAUGGUACAUUAUGUUUUAUAGUGAAAAGCGAUUUCACUGGGAGGUAUUGUAAUUGUUUUGGGGAUUUCUGUUUUUCAGCUACAUGUAUAUAUUUUCCAUGCACAGUUUUUUUUUGCCUAUUCUUCAUUGCACUCUUAUUUUUCCCCAACAUACAUAGCCAGAGGUACAAAUGUAGAUGCCGUCGAUCUUGUACUGCUCAGUAUUCAAAAUCCAAUGGCUAAACGUAAGGGCAAUGUACCAAAUAUAUCGAAGACCUACAUGUGUAUGUACAUCUCAAAUGGGAAUUAACUGUAGAUUUCAAUCAUACAGUUAGAUUAACAUACCAAGGAGUUCUGCUCAACUGUGGGCCCAGUGGUGUUGACAUACAACUAUAGAUAACAUUGGCAAAAAAUGUUAACGCUACCAUAUCAAAACUGGGUAUCAUAAUCUUAAAAUUGUAACAUUGCAAGACGUAAAUUACAGCCCAUCACCUCACUUGAUUGCAAGAUAAAGAAGAAGAGAAGUACAUGUAUGAUUGAUGAUAAAAGAAACAGACGACAUGUUUGCUUGGAUUUUCCAACACUUUAUUCAUAUCCAUAAACUUUAGUUUACAUGCCACUCCAUGGUUGUAUUGACAAUGGCCAAAAUGAGAGUUAUCAUCCAGUUUGGCUUGACAUAGGAAUUAAGGGAUAGCUAUUGGUCACAUUUGUUGUAAUUGGUGCCAAUUGUUGAGGUAUCACAGAGUUAACAUAGAGCAGGCACUACAAC